UGGGGAAUAUUGGGCAAUGGGGGCAACCCUGACCCAGCAACGCCGCGUGAAGGAAGAAGGCCUUCGGGUUGUAAACUUCUUUGACGAGGGACGAUAAUGACGGUACCUCGAAAACAAGCCACGGCUAACUACGUGCCAGCAGCCGCGGUAAUACGUAGGUGGCAAGCGUUGUCCGGAUUUACUGGGUGUAAAGGGCGCGUAGGCGGGAUGAUAAGUCAGAUGUGAAAUCUCCAGGCUUAACCUGGAAGCUGCAUUUGAAACUGUUGUUCUGGAGUAUCGGAGAGGCAAGUGGAAUUCCUAGUGUAGCGGUGAAAUGCGUAGAUAUCACAAGGAACACCGAUUGCGGAGGCAGCUUACUAAACCGCAACUGACGCUCAUGCACGAAGGCGUGGGGAUCAAACAGG
rnacentral:rRNA from 1 species